rnacentral:tRNA from 1 species
AAAGUUGAGUAUAGUUUUAUGUAUUUUUUAUUGUCAAUAAGGAGGAAUAAACUUUUG